rnacentral:lncRNA from 1 species
UCGGCAUGACUGUUGUAGUGUAAAAUUUAUGCAAAAAGAUAAGUUUGGGGGUGGUAAUCCUUAGAAGAAAUGUUGGAAAAAGGGCAAGUGCAAGAAAAAGAAAAAGAAAAACUGUGUAGAAACAUUUGCUUCUAUCGGAAAAAAAAAAGAAAAAAAAAGAAAAAAUAGAGAAAUGAAGAAUAAGCACUUGCCUUGGAGAUAGACUCACGCAUUAAUGUGAUAAAUCAAAGAAAAAUUCGAGUGAAAAAGAGUCAAAAUUGGACGACACCCAAUAAAAUAAUUCUUGCACAAAG